ensembl:snRNA U2 U2 spliceosomal RNA
AUCGCUUCUCGGCCUUUUGGCUAAGAUCAAGUGUAAUUUAUUAUUUUAACAACUCUAUAAAACAUCCAAUAUCCAUGUUAAAUUGCCUUUUAGUAUCGCAGUUUUCUUAUGUUAGCUGUAUUAUUGAACAGAGAAGUCCAUACUGAAAGGAUCCAUGACAGUAUAGGUUAG